GCCGCGGUAGCUCAGGUGGGAGAGCGUCCGGCUGAAGACCGGAAUGUCGAGUGUUCAAGUCACUCCCGCGGCA
rnacentral:tRNA from 1 species